CCGUAGCCCAAGAGAUCGGGAUAACACCUGGAAACAGAUGCUAAUACCGGAUAACAAUAGAUGAUGCCUAUCAACUGUUUAAAAGAUGGUUCUGCUAUCACUCUUGGAUGGACCUGCGGUGCAUUAGCUAGUUGGUAGGGUAACGGCCUGCCAAGGCGAUGAUGCAUAGCCGAGUUGAGAGACUGAUCGGCCACAUUGGGACUGAGACACGGCCCAAACUCCUACGGGAGGCAGCAGGU
rnacentral:rRNA from 1 species